rnacentral:misc_RNA from 1 species
GAUGAAGAACGUAGCGAAACGCGAUAAGUAAUGUGAAUUGCAGAAUCCAGUGAAUCAUCGAAUCUUUGAACGCACAUUGCGCCCGCCAGCAUUCUGGCGGGCAUGCCUGUUCGAGCGUCAUUUCAACCCUCGACCUCCCCUUGGGGAGGUCGGCGUUGGGGACCGGCAGCACACCGCCGGCCCUGAAAUGGAGUGGCGGCCCGUCCGCGGCGACCUCUGCGCAGUAAUACAGCUCGCACCGGGACCCCGACGCGGCCACGCCGUAAAACCCCCAACUUCUGAACGUUGACCUCGAAUCAGGUAGGACUACCCGCUGAACUUAAGCAUAUCAAUAAGCGGAGGA